CCUACGGGAGGCAGCAGUGGGGAAUAUUGGGCAAUGGGCGCAAGCCUGACCCAGCAACGCCGCGUGAAGGAAGAAGGCCCUCGGGUUGUAAACUUCUUUUAGCAAGGACGAAACAAAUGACGGUACUUGAUGAAUAAGUUACGGCUAACUACGAGCCAGCAGCCGCCGUACUACGUAGGAGGCAAGCGUUAACCGGAGUUACUGGGUGUAAAGGGCGUGUAGGCGGGACUGCAAGUCAGCUGUGAAACCCAUGGGCUCAACCCAGGGCCUGCAUUUGAAACUGGUGAUCUUGAGUGUUGGAGAGGCAAGCGGAAUUCCAUGUGUAGCGGUGAAAUGCGUAGAUAUACGGAGGAACACCAGUGGCGAAGGCGACCUGCUGGACAAUAACUGACGCUGAGGCGCGAAAGCGUGGGUAGCAAACAGGAUUAGAUACCCUAGUAGUC
rnacentral:rRNA from 1 species